UUCAUAUUCAUUACACACAUAACUUUUAAUCCCUUAGGGUUUUAUACAAAACAUUAGGAUUUCUAAUUUAACAAUUAGGGUUGUCCCUAAUAUAUAAUCACAAAUACUUAAGCCAUUAUAUUUAGCCUUUGACUUCCCAAAUUAGGGUUUCAAAUACUGAAUUAGGAUUUCGGAUUCCCGGUACUGAAAUUAGGGUUUCCAGA
rnacentral:lncRNA from 1 species